rnacentral:rRNA from 1 species
GACGAACGCUGGCGGCGUGCUUAACACAUGCAAGUCGAACGGAAAGGCCCUGCUUUUGUGGGGUGCUCGAGUGGCGAACGGGUGAGUAACACGUGAGUAACCUGCCCUUGACUUUGGGAUAACUUCAGGAAACUGGGGCUAAUACCGGAUAGGAGCUCCUGCUGCAUGGUGGGGGUUGGAAAGUUUCUGCGGUUGGGGAUGGACUCGCGGCUUAUCAGCUUGUUGGUGGGGUAGUGGCUUACCAAGGCUUUGACGGGUAGCCGGCCUGAGAGGGUGACCGGCCACAUUGGGACUGAGAUACGGCCCAGACUCCUACGGGAGGCAGCAGUGGGGAAGAUUGCACAAUGGGCGGAAGCCUGAUGCAGCAACGCCGCGUGCGGGAUGACGGCCUUCGGGUUGUAAACCGCUUUCGCCUGUGACGAAGCGCGAGUGACGGUAAUGGGUAAAGAAGCACCGGCUAACUACGUG